AUUGAACGCUGGCGGCAGGCCUAACACAUGCAAGUCGAGCGGUAGCACAGAGAGCUUGCUCUCGGGUGACGAGCGGCGGACGGGUGAGUAAUGUCUGGGAAACUGCCUGAUGGAGGGGGAUAACUACUGGAAACGGUAGCUAAUACCGCAUAAUGUCGCAAGACCAAAGUGGGGGACCUUCGGGCCUCAUGCCAUCAGAUGUGCCCAGAUGGGAUUAGCUAGUAGGUGGGGUAACGGCUCACCUAGGCGACGAUCCCUAGCUGGUCUGAGAGGAUGACCAGCCACACUGGAACUGAGACACGGUCCAAACUCCUACGGGAGGCAGCAGUGGGGAAUAUUGCACAAUGGGCGCAAGCCUGAUGCAGCCAUGCCGCGUGAGUGAAGAAGGCCUUCGGGUUGUAAAGCUCUUUUGUCAGGGAAGAAACGGCUGAGGUUAAUGCCUUUGGCUAAUGACGGUACCUGAAGAAUAAGCACCGGCUAACUCCGUGCCAGCAGCCGCCGUAA
rnacentral:rRNA from 1 species